AAGGGUUGGGCUGUUCGCCCAUUAAAGUGGUACGCGAGCUGGGUUCAGAACGUCGUGAGACAGUUCGGUCCCUAUCCGUCGCAGGCGUAGGAAAUUUGAGAAGACCUGGCCUUAGUACGAGAGGACCGGGAUGGACGUACCUCUGGUGUACCAGUUGUCCUGCCAAGGGCAUGGCUGGGUAGCUAUGUACGGAAUGGAUAAGCGCUGAAAGCAUCUAAGCGCGAAGCCAACUUCAA
rnacentral:rRNA from 1 species